rnacentral:rRNA from 1 species
AAGAGACAGCAGUAGCCACGGGAAUACGAAGGGUGCAAGCGUUAAUCGGAAUUACUGGGCGUAAAGCGUGCGUAGGCGGUUUGUUAAGUCUGCUGUGAAAUCCCCGGGCUCAACCUGGGAAUGGCAGUGGAUACUGGCAAGCUAGAGUGUGUCAGAGGAUGGUGGAAUUCCCGGUGUAGCGGUGAAAUGCGUAGAGAUCGGGAGGAACAUCAGUGGCGAAGGCGGCCAUCUGGGACAACGCUGACGCUGAGGCACGAAAGCGUGGGGAGCAAACAGGAUUAGAUACCCGCGUAGUCCCUGUCUCUUAUAC